rnacentral:rRNA from 1 species
UGGGGAAUAUUGGGCAAUGGGCGCAAGCCUGACCCAGCAACGCCGCGUGAGGGAAGAAGGCCUUCGGGUUGUAAACCUCUGUCCUUGGUGACGAAACAAAUGACGGUAGCCAAGGAGGAAGCCCCGGCUAACUACGUGCCAGCAGCCGCGGUAAUACGUAGGGGGCGAGCGUUGUCCGGAAUUACUGGGCGUAAAGGGUGCGUAGGUGGCCUUUUAAGUUGGAUGUGAAAUACCCGGGCUUAACUUGGGGGGUGCAUCUAAUACUGGGAGGCUAGAGUGCAGGAGAGGGAAGCGGAAUUCCUAGUGUAGCGGUGAAAUGCGUAGAUAUUAGGAGGAACACCAGUGGCGAAGGCGGCUUUCUGGACUGUAACUGACACUGAGGCACGAAAGCGUGGGGAGC